AGUGGCUACGAGGACGACGCUGGCGGCGUGCUAAACACAUGCAAGUCGAACGGUGACCCAGGGCUUGCCCUGGUGAUCAGUGGCGAACGGGUGAGUAACACGUGGGCAACCUGCCCCUGACUUCGGGAUAACUCCUCGAAAGAGGAGCUAAUACCGGAUACGACCACUUCGGACAUCCGAUGGUGGUGGAAAGUUUUUCGGUCAGGGAUGGGCCCGCGGCCUAUCAGCUAGUUGGUGGGGUAAUGGCCUACCAAGGCGACGACGGGUAGCCGGCCUGAGAGGGCGACCGGCCACACUGGGACUGAGACACGGCCCAGACUCCUACGGGAGGCAGCAGUGGGGAAUAUUGCGCAAUGGGCGAAAGCCUGACGCAGCGACGCCGCGUGAGGGAUGAAGGCCUUCGGGUUGUAAACCUCUUUCAGCAGGGACGAAGCGAAAGUGACGGUACCUGCAGAAGAAGCACCGGCUAACUACGUG
rnacentral:rRNA from 1 species